rnacentral:rRNA from 1 species
UACGUAGGGGGCAAGCGUUGUCCGGAAUCACUGGGCGUAAAGCGCGCGUAGGCGGCUUUGUAAGUUAGAGGUGAAAGCCCGGAGCUCAACUCCGGAACUGCCUUUAAAACUGCAUCGCUUGAAUCCAGGAGAGGUGAGUGGAAUUCCGAGUGUAGAGGUGAAAUUCGUAGAUAUUCGGAAGAACACCAGUGGCGAAGGCGGCUCACUGGACUGGUAUUGACGCUGAGGUGCGAAAGCGUGGGGAGCAAACAGG